rnacentral:rRNA from 1 species
GAUGAACGCUAGCUACAGGCUUAACACAUGCAAGUCGAGGGAAACGAUAGAGAAAGCUUGCUUUUCUAGGCGUCGACCGGCGCACGGGUGAGUAACGCGUAUCCAACCUGCCCAUCACUUGGGGAUAACCUUGCCGAAAGUAAGACUAAUACCCAAUGACGUCUCUAGAAGACAUCUGAAGGAGAUUAAAGGAUUUAUCGGUGAUGGAUGGGAUGCGUCUGAUUAGCUUGUUGGCGGGUAACGGCCCACCAAGGCGACGAUCAGUAGGGUUCUGAGAGGAAGGCCCCCCACAUUGGAACUGAGACACGGUCCCAAACUCCUACGGGAGGCAGCAGUGAGGAAUACUUGGUCAAUGGACGAGAGUCUGAACCAGCCAAGUAGCGUGCAGGAUGACGGCCCUAUGGGUUGUAAA